rnacentral:misc_RNA from 1 species
GAUGAAGAACGCAGCGAAAUGCGGUACGUAAUGUGAAUUGCAGAAUUCAGUGAAUUAUCGAGUCUUUGAACGCACAUUGCGCCCCCUGGUAUUCCGGGGGGCAUGCCUGUCCGAGCGUCAUUGCUGCCCUCAAGCACGGCUUGUGUGUUGGGCCUUCGUCCUCCUCCCGGGGGACGGGCCCGAAAGGCAGCGGCGGCACCGCGUCCGGUCCUCGAGCGUAUGGGGCUUCGUCACCCGCUCUUGUAGGCCCGGCCGGCGCUUGCCGACACAUCAAUCUUUUUUCCAGGUUGACCUUGGAUCAGGUAGGGAUACCCGCUGAACUUAAGCAUAUCAAUAGCGGAGG